UGGAGUAUGGUGUACCGGUAUCAUUUGUCCCUUGACGUAUGUCCUUAUGGAUCAGAACUGGGUUCGACUCCCAGUACUCCAA